AGGGAGUUGAACUUGUCAAAUUAGUGUCUACAGUGAUAUGUAUGAAGCAAAGGGAAGAAGAAUUCUUGCUAACUAUCAGACCUUUUGCAAACAGGAUGCAGAAAUCCCCUUGCUACAUUCCCAUUGUGAGCAGUGCCACCCUGUGGGAUAGAAGCACACCCCAUGCAAAGAAUAUCCCUUGUUAUGAAAGAACUUCAGUGACCUGCUCCAGAUUCAUUAAUCACAUGAAGAAUUUCUCUGAAUCUCCUAAAUUUCGUAGUCUACACUGUCUAAAUUUUCCAGGACCAUUUCACUGAUCUGAAACAAUAUAUUUAAAUGUACCUGUCCAAUUUACUACCUAAGAGAAAAUGUUUUUAGGACAACUGAUAAAGCAGUGUUUCCAGAAAGGACUCAAAGUUCAGUGGCGUGUAAAAGACUACUUUGUACUUGCCAGUACAUAGUCCCCAGGUCUUCUGUAAGCACAGUUUCUUUGGAUGAAAAAAGCUGUGAAGAAGCCCGUUCCCCUCCAGCACCAUCUGGUGAAACUGAUGAGACCCCAUUGAUUUUCACUGCCAGUGGAGAAACUGAGGAGAGAGCCAGAGGAGCACCCAAGCAGGCUUGGAACAGUUCAUUUUUGGAACAACUGGUACAAAAGCCUAGUUGGGCACACUCAGUAAAUCCUGUUCACCUGGAGGCUCAGGGCAUACACAUCAAUAGACACACAAGACCUAAGGCCCAGCCCUUGAGCAAUCCCAAGAAAAAUUCUGGUUCCACCGCCAGACCUUUCACUGCCAUUGGCCUCUGCAGGAGGAGCCAGACCCCCUGCGCCCUGCAGAGCGCCGGCCCGAGUAACGCAGAGCUGGAGCCGAAGGAGAGGAUGGCAUCCCCAGCAGGCUCUCAGGCACACCCCGACAUCCAAAGCAGACUCCUGGGCGCGUCCGGAAAUCCAGUCGGAAGAGGCGCGGUUGCCAUGGCGCCGGAGAUGCUCCCCAAGCAUCCUCAUCCCCCGCGGGACAGGAGGCCUCGGGCGGACACCUCCCUCCGUGGCAAUCUGGCAGGAGCGCCCCUUCCUCUGCUGGCCGGUGCUUCCACCCAUUUCCCCUCCAAGAGGUUAAUAAAGGUUUGCUCCUCAGCACCCCCCCGCCCAACCCGGCGUUUCCAUACGGUUUGUUCACAGGCCCUUUCUAGGCCGGUGGUGAAUGCUCACUUACAUUGACCGCUGCGAGGGAAUUGUUCGGCGAGUGCUGCCCAUCUUCAAAUCAAUGCCUGCUCAGAACAACAGAAAGGGCCUCAGAUGUACUGGUUUCCACAGAACCAUUGUUAGGCUUUUGUGAAGCAUUUUUGAACCUAAUAAAUAAUGUCAAAAGUC